CGAGGAACUUUCAUCAACGAGAUUUGUUUCCUUGCGGUAAACGAUGAUUCGUAUGGCAUUUCGCUGCAAUAAACAUCGCGAAGACGUGGCGAGUCCGCGUAUAUCCUGUAUACGGAAACUUGCGUCGCAAACGUGCAGUGUCGACUCGUAGAAGAAGUAAAGGAUUAAAUUUAGCAUCGGCGAAUAUUCCACCGUCGCGAACAGUCUCCCCCUAGUUGACCUAAGCAACGCUAAUGUUUUAAGCACGAUCGUAUACGGAAUGACGAUCUCGUGUAACAAUUAUGUGUACUGCCUAGUGUUUGGUCCGUGCGAUAAACUGCAAGAUGGAUUAGUACAAAAUUUCAUCAGAAGGUAAACUAACAGUCUGAAUACAAUGUGCAUCCCUUUGUACGUCGCCCCUGUUAUGGAUCUGACAUCACAACGAAACGAUUGAAUCUAGAAGAAAAAUAUAGCUAUGUUAUUUUUAUUUGUUCUGACGUUUGUCGUAAAAAUAAAACUUCGCAA